rnacentral:rRNA from 1 species
UACCAGCGCCCCGAGUGGUCUGGACGAUUAUUGGGCCUAAAGCAUCCGUAGCCGGUUUUACAAGUCCUCCGUUAAAUCCAACUGCUUAACAGAUGGGCCGCGGAGGAUACUAUAAGACUAGGAGGCAGGAGAGGCAAGCGGUACUCAGUGGGUAGGGGUAAAAUCCGUUGAUCCAUUGAAGACCACCAGUGGCGAAGGCGGCUUGCCAGAAUGCGCUCGACGGUGAGGGAUGAAAGCUGGGGGAGCAAACCGG